rnacentral:rRNA from 1 species
AUGGCCGGGGAGCUCAUGAGCCUCGGUGUCCUUGAGAAGCACUUCGGUGUGGACGAGGCCGGCGGCGUUGGUCCUGACGAGCUCGCGAAGCUCUACCGCGGCCUGUUCGCACGCUUCGACCACGACGGCAACGGCACAGUGGACCGCGAGGAGUUCCGGGCGGAGAUGAAGGAGGUCAUGCUCGCCGUGGCCAACGGGCUCGAGUUCCUGCCGGUGCAGAUGGUCGUGGAGGAAGGGAGCUUUCUCAAGGUGGCGGUGGACAGGGAGCUGGCCAGAGCUACGUGA